CGCUAGAGAAAGCUGGUCGCUGCCGCUGAAGGCGCCUCGGCGGGCUGGCUGGCUGGCACUCCCUUCCCGUCGUCGCCCGUCCAGGAUGCUGGACUUGGAUUACGCGCAGCUUGAUGGAUCCCAGUAUGGCUAUGUGUUCCCCACUGGAUUCAUCAGUGAUUUGGACUCUUACAAACAAGAAUCCACAUUUCCUCCCUGCCUUGCAGAUCCCGAGAGCUCCCCAGAGUCCUGUAUGAACUGGCUAGAAAUGCAGGAACCUGGAUAUGAACCCUUCGAGGUAGGCCACCUGGCUCAGCUGCAGAAUGUCCAAGUCUCCUACCCCCCUGGCACCUACCCCCAGCCGCAGCUCUCUCUGGAACCAUUCUAUGGCCAGGAGGGGAUAAUGCCUGCCCAGAAUGCAACUAUGGGAUCCAAGGAAGAGUACAACACUGAGAUCUACCUCCCAUAUGAACAAUAUUCUGCUCCAAGGGAAAUCUGUAGCCCAUUGUCUGAAGAGGAGGAAUUUCACAAGGAUGGCCGGAAUCUGGAAGUAUCUUCUGACAGUGAUUUGGAUGAGAAUCUCUUAUCUAGGUUUGAUUCUGGCUCUCGCCGGAAACUCCGCCUCUACCAGUUCUUGCUAGAGCUCCUGGAAGGUGGUGACAUGAAGGAAUGUGUGUGGUGGGUGCAGCGUGAUGCAGGCAUCUUCCAGUUCUCUUCAAAGCACAAGGAGCUCCUGGCACACCGCUGGGGCCAGCAGAAGGGCAACCGCAAGAAAAUGACCUAUCAAAAAAUGGCCCGAGCUCUGCGCAACUAUGGCAAAACAGGCGAGAUCCGUAAGGUGAAGAAGAAGCUCACGUACCAGUUUGGGACCUCACUGCUGGGCCCGUCGCCUUCUUCCUAGAGCCCUCCCCAGGACUCCCUGGCCAGGAUAGCCUCCAAUGACAUGCUUCCAUUCUUGGCUUUCCUGAAACCUUUUUGGGCAUUUGGCAGCUUAGCUGUAUGAGAGAACCUGCCAGUUGCUUUGCACUAAGCAAGGAGGGUGGGUCUGAAGGCAAUGAGGUCCUCUCUUGGGUGGGGGGAUCUGCACUUUAGGUUUGUGGACCAGGACUAGUGGGUUUUCCUUGGUGGGGUGGGGAAAUGGGGUCCAACAGAGAUGGAUCAGGCUGGGGUUCCUGGAUUGAUCUUUCCUGGAUGGUUUGGGAACCAGUGCUCUCGUCAACUCUUUCAGGGAUCCUUGGUGGGAAUGAAAAAGGGGUGAGACAGCAGCAGUGCUGCUAGGUUAUUUUUGACCCUGGCCUUGAUGGCGUAAUGACCCCUCCUUAAAAUAUUCGUGGUGUAUCCCUACAAUUGUACAGGAGUCGAUCCAAUGUUUCUCUUACUCUCUCACCAUUCCAUGCCUUACCAUUUCAUCAACAUGAAUGAUCUUUGGAGCAGACCAAAUCAAACAAGCCAAAACCAAAACUGAUGGCCAAUCUUGAUUAAAAACGAAGAAAUUCCCCAAGUAUGUACAGUGGUAUACUUAAAAACCACUUAAAUCCUAAAACCAUCUUCUGAAGCCAAUUGACUUGGAAAUGUGUAUUGCUUUGUUGGAGAGAAUGAUUACAUAUAUAUAUAUAUAUAUUAAAAUAAAAAUAAAAAUUUCCCAUGUAAAACUUUAUAUGUUCCUGGCCAGCUGCCUUCAGCUAUAAAAUGGUUUUAGGAAUAAACAAGGUAGGGAAAUUGGGCAGAGCAUAGGUUCUGGAAUUCUUUCCAACCUCUUAAUCGCAGUUCCACUCAUAUGACCAGGAAGGAAGAGGGAGUGGGGGCGUAGAAUGGAAGAGCCAGCCACAGUCUGAGCCACUGCCCAGAUCCAACCCAUUUUUGAACUUGGUCUUUCUUUUGCCAGCUUCUUCCCUCACACCAAAUUUGGUCCUGUUCUGUUCAGUUUUCAGAAAAUAAUCUGGACAGAGUCCUGAGCUUCUUUAAGUAAUUUGUUUCCAACAUUCUCUUAGGUUGGAAAGAAUAUAAAAGAAAGUUGGUAAGAAGAAGCAUCAGCCCCUCAGGGAGAAAAUACUCACCUCUUUUCCUUAGAUCCAGCA